AUCUACCAGAUUUUUUCCCGCUCAUUUUCACCUAUAAUGGGGUUCAUGUUUGUGAUAGUGAUUAGACUUAUUUCUUAAAUCUCAAUGUCUCGUAGCACGGAGUAACGAUCUGCGGACAGUAUUUAGUGUUUAGUACAAAGUAUAGUUAUUAGUUGCACUUAAGUUGAGAAGUAUAAUACUAGACAAGUCACUAGUCUUAAAAGUCGUUAUCCUUAUAUCUUCGUAUUCGUAUCUUAUAUCGUAUAUUUUUUAUAUCUUCGUAUUCGUUAAUAAACAUUGUAAUUCGUGCUUUCAUAGCUUGUAGAUAAUAAUAAUAAUUAUAUAGUAAUUACUUAAAAUAUCAGUUGAUUCAUCGCAUCAUAGGUGCUUACAGCUCUUAAAGGAAUUUUACGAAUUUACCGGCAAUUAUUUUUCGAAAGUCAACAUGCCUGAAUUCGUUGGCAACUUCGAUCAAACGGAAUUUGAACGGUCGUCGUUCAAUUACGCUGACAUGUCGUCGGUGUUCCACCUGAAGGAUGUCAACUACACCAGACAGUUUGCACACAUUUACGCCCACAGACUGGUGCAGAUGAGAGACAUUCUUCAAGAGAAAAUACAACAAAAAUGGGGCGAAAGGUGUGAUAUUUAUAAAUUAUCUGAGUUGCAUGAUAAGAUCGGCAAAGAAUGUAUUAUAGUUGGCACACUAUUUAAACAUCAAGAACUAAAACCUAGUAUUUUGAAAGAAAUUAGCGAAGAAAACAAUUUGAUACCUCAACCACCUAGAACUCAUUUUGUUUCCGAUACAGAUGAAAUUAUAUUAGAAGAUGAAUUACAAAGAGUACCUUUAACAUUUGAUGGUUUGAAUGGCAAUAGUUUAUCUUUAAAUAAUAUUAUGACUGGAUGUAUUAUAGCAGUAAAAGGUAUUCCUCAAGAUGGCGGUAAAUUUGACGUACUGGAUUUUUGUUGGCCUACACCAUCAGCUGCAUAUAAAGCACUCACUACUCGUAGUUCGGGAGAUGAUAGGUUUCUUGUUUUAAUAAGUGGUUUAGAAUUAGCCACUAAUAUUGCUACUCAUUUUCAAGUACAGUUAUUCGUGGAUUGGAUAAACGGUUUACUGGGUGAUAAAAAAGAAAAUAGUAAAGUCUCAAAAAUUGUACAAGUUUUAAUAGCUGGAAAUAGUAUACGUAGUACUCCAAUGAAAAAGCCAAAUUACCGUGACAAGAUAGAUGAUUUUCCUAGAGACAUUCAAGCAAUUAAACAGUUAGAUGACCUAUUAUUCCAAUUAGCUUCAACUGUCGAUGUCCAAAUUAUGCCUGGAGAAUUUGACCCUACUGAUAGAACAUUACCUCAACAAGCAUUCCACAGAUGUUUAUUUCCCAAAGCUUCUGAAUAUUCAAGUUUACACAGAGUAACAAAUCCAAAUCAGUUUGAAAUUGAAGGCCAUCUCAUAAUUGGAUCAUCUGGACAAACUGUACAAGAUGUUUUUAGAUUUACUAACUUAGAGGAUCCAAUUGAUAUUAUGGAUAAAAUAUUAGAUUGGGGGCAUCAAAUACCAUCUGCACCAGAUACGAUUCAAUUUCAGAUGUUUUCACUAUAGAGAAAAUAAUGUAUUUUGUAAGCUGCAAUUGGGGAUAAAUAUUUCUAUGGAAUUACAUCUUAAAUUAAUAAAACAUGUUAUCCAUUCGAAGGACAAGAUCCAUUUAUAAUUAAAGAAAUGCCAGAUGUGUUUUUUGUAUCAAAUCAACAAUCAUUUCAGACAUCACUAAAAACAAAUGGCAGUG
rnacentral:misc_RNA from 1 species